rnacentral:rRNA from 1 species
UACAAAGGGGGCUAGCGUUGCUCGGAAUCACUGGGCGUAAAGGGUGCGUAGGCGGGUCUUUAAGUCAGGGGUGAAAUCCUGGAGCUCAACUCCAGAACUGCCUUUGAUACUGAAGAUCUUGAGUUCGGGAGAGGUGAGUGGAACUGCGAGUGUAGAGGUGAAAUUCGUAGAUAUUCGCAAGAACACCAGUGGCGAAGGCGGCUCACUGGCCCGAUACUGACGCUGAGGCGCGAAAGCGUGGGGAGCGAACCGG